rnacentral:pre_miRNA from 1 species
GGAAACUUGGAAACUACCGUUGGAUCGUGAAAUGGACGUCCGAGAUUUGUCCAUGUCACCAUGAGUUAAAAUUUAACUCCCAAUAAAAUUUUAACUCAUGAGUGAAUCUGCGAGUUAAAUUUUAACUCAUGGUGACGUGAACGAAUCUCGGACGUCCAUUUCUCGAUCCAACGGUAGUUUCCAAGUUUCU